rnacentral:rRNA from 1 species
GAUGAACGCUGGCGGCGUGCCUAAUACAUGCAAGUCGAGCGAACGGACGAGAAGCUUGCUUCUCUGAUGUUAGCGGCGGACGGGUGAGUAACACGUGGAUAACCUACCUAUAAGGCUGGGAUAACUUCGGGAAACCGGAGCUAAUACCGGAUAAUAUUUUGAACCGCAUGGUUCAAAAGUGAAAGACGGUCUUGCUGUCACUUAUAGAUGGAUCCGCGCUGCAUUAGCUAGUUGGUAAGGUAACGGCUUACCAAGGCAACGAUGCAUAGCCGACCUGAGAGGGUGAUCGGCCACACUGGAACUGAGACACGGUCCAGACUCCUACGGGAGGCAGCAGUAGGGAAUCUUCCGCAAUGGGCGAAAGCCUGACGGAGCAACGCCGCGUGAGUGAUGAAGGUCUUCGGAUCGUAAAACUCUGUUAUUAGGGAAGAACAUAUGUGUAAGUAACUGUGCACAUCUUGACGGUACCUAAUCAGAAAGCCACGGCUAACUACGUGCCAGCAGCCGCGGUAAUACGUAGGUGGCAAGCGUUAUCCGGAAUUAUUGGGCGUAAAGCGCGCGUAGGCGGUUUUUUAAGUCUGAUGUGAAAGCCCACGGCUCAACCGUGGAGGGUCAUUGGAAACUGGAAAACUUGAGUGCAGAAGAGGAAAGUGGAAUUCCAUGUGUAGCGGUGAAAUGCGCAGAGAUAUGGAGGAACACCAGUGGCGAAGGCGACUUUCUGGUCUGUAACUGACGCUGAUGUGCGAAAGCGUGGGGAUCAAACAGGAUUAGAUACCCUGGUAGUCCACGCCGUAAACGAUGAGUGCUAAGUGUUAGGGGGUUUCCGCCCCUUAGUGCUGCAGCUAACGCAUUAAGCACUCCGCCUGGGGAGUACGACCGCAAGGUUGAAACUCAAAGGAAUUGACGGGGACCCGCACAAGCGGUGGAGCAUGUGGUUUAAUUCGAAGCAACGCGAAGAACCUUACCAAAUCUUGACAUCCUUUGACAACUCUAGAGAUAGAGCCUUCCCCUUCGGGGGACAAAGUGACAGGUGGUGCAUGGUUGUCGUCAGCUCGUGUCGUGAGAUGUUGGGUUAAGUCCCGCAACGAGCGCAACCCUUAAGCUUAGUUGCCAUCAUUAAGUUGGGCACUCUAAGUUGACUGCCGGUGACAAACCGGAGGAAGGUGGGGAUGACGUCAAAUCAUCAUGCCCCUUAUGAUUUGGGCUACACACGUGCUACAAUGGACAAUACAAAGGGCAGCGAAACCGCGAGGUCAAGCAAAUCCCAUAAAGUUGUUCUCAGUUCGGAUUGUAGUCUGCAACUCGACUACAUGAAGCUGGAAUCGCUAGUAAUCGUAGAUCAGCAUGCUACGGUGAAUACGUUCCCGGGUCU